CUCCCCGGCAUUGGGCAAAGAGACACCUUGUUGGUGCUGUUCUUAUAUCAGUCAGCGGCAGAGCAGAUGGCAGCCCUUUGUUCAUCCUAUCUUGAUGCCUAGCUCCGUGGCCAAAGCUGUCUUAUGCCUAAGACUCAUAA